rnacentral:lncRNA from 10 species
GAACGUACCUGUAGUCCCAGCACUCAGGAGGCUUGAGGUGGGAGGAUGACUUGAGCCUAGGAGGUGGAUGUUGCAUUGAGUGGAGAUUGUGCCACUUCACUCCAGCCUGGGCAACCGAACAAGACCUUGUCUCAAAAAGAAAAAAGCUUUUAAAGUUUAGAAGUGAAGUCUUGGUGAGAAAAAUCUCAAAUACGAUUUUCAAGUUAGUAGUUCAAAUGCGUUACUAGAGGAAUAGCUUAAGAUUUUGAAAACAGAUUUUAACCCUUAUGUGUGUUUUUUCUCUUUUAGAUUGUUUUGACUGGCAUAUUGGAGCAAGUUGUAAACUGUAGGGAUGCUUUGGCUCAAGAAUAUCUCAUGGAGUGUAUUAUUCAGGUUUUCCCUGAUGAAUUUCACCUCCAGACUUUGAAUCCUUUUCUUCGGGCCUGUGCUGAGUUACACCAGAAUGUAAAUGUGAAGAACAUAAUCAUUGCUUUAAUUGAUAGGUAAG